rnacentral:rRNA from 1 species
GACGAACGCUGGCGGCGUGCUUAACACAUGCAAGUCGAACGGAAAGGCCCUGCUUUUGUGGGGUGCUCGAGUGGCGAACGGGUGAGUAACACGUGAGUAACCUGCCCUUGACUUUGGGAUAACUUCAGGAAACUGGGGCUAAUACCGGAUAGGAGCUCCUGCUGCAUGGUGGGGGUUGGAAAGUUUCGGCGGUUGGGGAUGGACUCGCGGCUUAUCAGCUUGUUGGGGGGGUAGUGGCUUACCAAGGCUUUGACGGGUAGCCGGCCUGAGAGGGUGACCGGCCACAUUGGGACUGAGAUACGGCCCAGAAUCCUACGGGAGGCAGCAGUGGGGAAUAUUGCACAAUGGGCGGAAGCCUGAUGCAGCAACGCCGCGUGCGGGAUGACGGCCUUCGGGUUGUAAACCGCUUUCGCCUGUGACGAAGCGUGAGUGACGGUAAUGGGUAAAGAAGCACCGGCUAACUACGUG